UUUCAAAUACUUACAUUAAAACUUUUCAUUGAAAAUGUUGAGGAUAAACCAAAAACCUUAAAUUAAUACUGAAGAUAUAAAUUGAAUAAUUAUUUAACAUACAAAUAUGUAAGCAUAAUGAAUUUUAUAUGUUAUGCAAUGACCUGUAUCAGAUUUGGAUUAGUGGGCAAAUGGUCACAGAGUCACUGGUAAAACACACACAAUUACUAUUUCAUUCCCCAGAGCCGCAGUCCACACAGUUUACCUGGGUCUUGCUCAGAGUUGGAACUCAGAUGACAGCUUCAUUUGGAGGGUGGUAGUCACACCAGAGGCUCACUUGGGAAAAGGUCUGUAUCCAGACUUGUGGGUUUGGAUGUAACACUUUAUUCUCCUCUGGCUGUCACUCUUGGAUAUCUUUAGUAAGGGAGGAUGAUAUGUUUCCUUGUCACCUGAUUCUUACAGAAUUCUAGCUGGCUUAUUCAAAAUCAACAGUCUCCCAAUCUGUUCUGCUAGGGUAUUGUUAUAUAAUUCAAUUAAAAGUUAAAAAUCCUAUCCUGUGUGCAGUACUCGGUUGGUUAGAAGCAAGGGACAGGAGGCUGUAUGGCAAAGGGAGUAUGACUAAAAUACUUGCUCACAUCUCAUUAAAGGAGAAAGCAGAGAGCAGGUAAUGCUGUUACUCAGCUUAUGUUAUCCCUGAUCUUGGUUGUCAACUUGACCACAUCUGGAAUCAAGUAAAGCCCAAACAGUUGGGCAUAGCUGUGAAGAAUUUUCUUUAUUAGAUCAUUUGAGGUGAGAAGACACAUUCUAAAUCUGGGCUAGACCUUAUGGUGGCAGUCUACAUAAAAGGACAGAAGAAAGAUUUUGCUUUUUGUCUGCUUACCCUCACUCUUGUUGGCAAGUUCAUCUAUUCUGCAGAUGAGGCAUUACUUCACUGGUAUUAGAACUUAUUUCUUCAGGAUCCCAACAUAGACUGAAGACAAGCUGAGACAUCCAGCCACAUGCACUGAACAACUACCAGAUUCUUGGCCUUUCUGUCAGAAGGCAGCCAUGAUUGGACUAUCUCAACCAUAGCCUAAUGUGGAAUAGUCAAGAAAGCCUUCAUAACACAGAUCUUGGAACAAGUCAUGAAAAUGGAUACGACUUCAUGAACCAAAUUAGAGAAGGAGAUACAGUCCCUGAAGAUUACUCAAGAUUGAAACUCAGAUGGCAUUAACGACUCAAUUCUAAAGACAACAAAUUAAAGACUGUACUGAGCUGGGUGGUGGUGGCACACGCCUUUAAUCCCAACACUCAGGAGGCAGAGCCAGGGGGAUCUCUGUGAG